CAUACGGGAGGCAGCCGUAGGGACUAUUGCACAAUGGGGGAAACCCUGAAGCAGCAACGCCGCGUGGAGGAUGAAGGUAUUAGGAUUGUAAACUCCGUUGGUGAGAGAAGAUAAUGACGGUAUCACACGAAUAAGAACAGGCUAACAACGUACCAUCAGCCGCGAGAAUACGUAGGGGGCAAGCGUUACUCGUAAUACCAGGGCGGAAAGUGUGCGCAGGCGGGCGUGUAAGUCAGAUGUGAAAUCCUGUAGCUUAACUACAGAACUGCAUUUGAAACUAUGAGUCUAGAGUGUGGGAGAGGUAGGUGGAAUGCUUGGUGUAGGGGUAAAAUCCGUAGAUAUCAAGAGGAAUACUCAUUGCGAAGGCGACCUACUGGAACAUUACUGACGCUCAUGCACGAAAGCGUGGGGAGCAAACAGGAUUAGAUACCCCAGUAGUC
rnacentral:rRNA from 1 species